UACAGAGGGUGCAAGCGUUAAUCGGAUUUACUGGGCGUAAGCGCGACGUAGGCGGCUAAUUAAGUCAAAUGUGAAAUCCCCGAGCUUAACUUGGGAAUUGCAUUCGAUACUGGUUAGCUAGAGUGUGGGAGAGGAUGGUAGAAUUCCGAGGUGUAGCGGUGAAAUGCGUAGAGAUCUGGAAGGAAUACCGAUGGCGAAGGCAGCCAUCUGGCCUAAACACUGACGCUGACGGUGCGAAAGCAUGGGGAGCAAACAGG
rnacentral:rRNA from 1 species